UUUUUCUAUGCAAACCAGUUUAUGUACCAGUUCAUGUGAAAUCUUCUGCUGAAUGCCUAAUGUUUAGAGACUAGCUUAGAAAAUUUUGGCGAGAUGCCUAGAUCUUUCCAAAAUAAAGCGAUUUAAUUAUAGUGAUCAAGUUUUUAACUGCAAGUCCAUUGGUUUGAACUGAAUUGUUUUUAAUAUUGGGAAAGCUUUCUAUCUUCAGAUUCCUUUGGAAUAAUUAUAAAUCAGAUUAACAGCCAGGUUAAGUCUGGGCUUUCUUCAUUGCUGAAAUUUGUUUCGUCACACGGAAAACUUCAGAACAAUCAAAGUUCAUGGUCAGUUUGGUGUACAGUGGUUUACUGGUUUUGCAGUCAUUUUCCAGUUGAGAGAUGUGCUGAAAUGGAGCUUGUGCAGUCUUGCAGUUGAACAUCAUACUUUAAUGUGUCAUUUGCCUAUGCUGGUGUCCAUGCAGUGUUGGUAAAAUGGUCAAUGUUUCCUGAUGGCUGUCGGUCUUAUUUUAUCGGCUGCAUUUUGCCGAGUUGUCGUCUUUUGCUACCUGUACCGGCGUUUAGUUUAAUCGUUUGCCGCCGUUCCAAUCGUUCCAUAGACUCGAUCCAUUGGUAACACUGAGGAGAGUUUGCGAAGAUUCAAGACUCGUCAAUAAAUCAUGUAGAUUUAGACAAUUUACAAGUGCAUAUCUGGGCUCCCUUCUUCAGUGGCCCCGUUUCCCUAAAUAACCACUAACCAACGCCCGCCGGUGGUCACUCACUCGCUGCGACAACCAGGAGGAAGAGAGAUGUUUGGUCGAACGGGGACUUGCAAGGCGCAUGACUCGAUGAAAUCUGUUAGAGGGUCAUGAGUCUAAGCCGGAAGCCUACUAUGAUACACUGCUCUCAUAAUAACUGCUCCUCAGCUCUCUUCGCUCUUUUUCCGGUUUCUCUUAACCAUGGCCGGGUAAUCUCCCUGGUCGAGUCAGUCGGGCAGUGUCUCCCCCUGCUUGACCGGCUGCAGCUUGUACCGGACGGUUUGUUUAAUAAAUAAAACAAG